rnacentral:misc_RNA from 1 species
CCGCCGGUGGCCCGCCGUUGCACUGGACACAAGGAAUCAGGCCCAACGGCUAAUAAGAACCCCAAAAGUAUUCAAAAAACGGACCGCAUCGGCCAGCCAGCGCCGCCUCGCCUAUAAAUACGUCGUCUCCUGCAACCUUCUCCCCAUCACCAAGUUUUGGAUUCCAGCAGCGGCGCCCCCAGGCCAGGCCCCACCCGCUCAGCCUCCUCAGCUGCCCAACCUUCUCCCCAUCUGCUCAGCCUCAGCUGUCAUUCCCGCGAAGCGCCGUCUCCCGGCUCUAUCGAUGGACCGAGUCGCCGCCCUCGUCGUCGCGCUCCUCGCCCUCUUCUUCGCCGCCGGGGCCACGGCGCAGGCCCCGGCCUCGUCGCCCAAGCGCACUCCAGCGCCAGCGCCACCCAGGACGGCCUUCCUCCCGCCGCCGCCGGCCAGGGCGCCUAUGGCCUCCCCGCCCUCGCCUCCCGCGAUGGCGCCGGUGCCCGCGCCCUCCGCCGGCGUGCCGGCCACGAGCCCCGUCGGCGCGGGAGCUGGUGACGACGCGAUGGCCCCCGCCGGAGCCGCGGCGGCUCUGACUCCGGCUGCCGCGCCCGUCACGGAGAAGAGCGCCGCCGUCUCAGCCUCCGCCGCCGCCGCCAGCCUCGUGGCCAUCGUUGCCGCCGUGGCAGCCGCCGUCGCGUUCUAGACCGGGACCGACCUUGGGACAUCUGAUAUGUCGGUGGAUCCGUGGAGGAGCUAGAGCUGCACUCUUUCUCUGCUGUGUGUGUUGGGUGUUUUCCUCCUCUUUUUUCGGAUCCUAUUUAUUUGUUUAUUCAUUUGUUAUUUCGAGGCUUGAGACGGAGAUGAGGACGUGUAAUCCUACCAAUUUUUCAGACGGGA